AGUUUGUUGACCGAGGAUUCCUGAAACGCAAUGUUUGCGAAGUAACAUUUAAAUGUUCAAAAAAGAUAUAGCGAUGGUCAGAUAAAGAUUCUUCAUCUGACACAUGCCAAUGGAUUACCCGCUUCGGCGGAAAUUGCAACAGAUGGCGCUAGUGAGCAGGAGUUUUUCACUUUUAAAAUGUAUGGAGAAAAUUAUAAAAACUAGUUUCUUGACUCAUUAAACAUUUUAUCGAAAAAAAUAUUUGGUACAUGUUGUAAGCCAUAAUGAUAGCUAUCUACGAUACCAAAUAUUUUUUGAUGAAAUUUCGAAAUAUUUGAAAUUUUUGAAAAAAUGUUCAAAUCUCCAUACAUUAUUUCGACCGAAAACUUCUGCCUCGAUAUUGGUUUCUCUUCCUUUCCCUAUACAUGGCAUAGUAUGACGUCACGAAUAUACAUGGAGUUAUGUUUACCCAUCUGUCAAUAAUUUGUAGAAAAAUGAAAAAAAAAAAGUUUGGAGCGGCAACGAGGAAGCUAAAAUCCUGAGAAAAAUCUAAUAAAUUUGCGGUCCCUCUACCGUCGCAGCGGCCAGCUAGAGCAGCCGUCCGGCAAAUAUUGUUUCAGGUUUCUAGUGAGUGACUUAUACCGAGGAACCGCACACCAGCCGGAGGAAGAUCGUCCUGGGAAAGUACAGGAAAAAAGAAGCAAUUCGGGCAUGACCACUUCCAUGGAAUUGAUGCUGUUCGUGAUGAAGGACCAGUUGUGAAAGAUGAUUUUCCCGGUAUUUUUCUGCGGUGUUAUUCACUUGCUGGAGUUGGGGAAGAUCGCUUUCAAUCUGGCCUUCGGGCAUGUAAAACAAAUGGCGCACCGGUUGUUCCGCUCCUUCUGCAGUCUCCCAAUCGGACUGCCGAUUUCGAUGAGCUUGAAGAAAGGCGAGAGGAUUGGAUUCCCAAAACCCUUCUUCACCGGGGUCAUUGAGGCGUGUCAGGGCUUCAUCAUGGCUGUCAAUAUUUAUCUCUUCGGUUACCCAAUCACAUUGCAGGCACAAUCAUAGACAUCCUCAUCCUAGCCACCUAUAGCAUUGGACAAAAUCGAAUCCUCAUUUUACUAUUGUAUUUGUUUAUAAGUAAUAAAAAGAACCAUGUGGGGGUGGGGCUCUUUAAAAAAUUCUGAAAAUCCGAGGGUAGGUUCACCAUAUUCUCCAAAGUUGAAACUUUCGAAUAGUUCAUAAGUUAUUCUUGAAUUUAUUUUUAAGUUAAAAGUUACAUCCACCGUCUCCCGAAACUUUAAAAUCGUGAUAAAGUGAUAACAGUGAUUAUAUAUGAUCCUUGCGUUUCAUCACAAAUAACUAAAGCUGGUUCACCAAGUUCUCCAAAGUUGCGUGGUGACGCAUAUUCUUUCUCAUAAAACUUUAGAAUAGUGAAGUAGUUUUUGCGUUUAAACACAAAUAACUGAAACUGGUUUACCAAGUUCUCCAAAGUUGCGUGGUGACGCAUAUUUUUUCUCUAAAAACUUUGAAAUAGUGAAGUGGUACUUGCGUUUAAACGCAAAUAACUGAAACUGGUUCACCAAGUUCUCCAAAGCUGCGUGGUGACGCAUAUUCUUUCUCAAAAAACUUCAGAACAGUGAAGUAGUUUUUGCAUUUAAACACAAAUAACUUUAACUGGUUCACCAAG